CUCUCUCUCUUUUUUUUUUUUGCCUUUUGUUAUUUGCACUCGCAUUGUGUUGUUUGUCUCUGAAGCCGCCUCAUGACCAGCAAAGGGAUUUCACCUCGUCCUUGAGAGAGACAGAGAGAGAGAGAAGGGGGAAGGGGGGGGGGAAGAAGAAGAGAGAAGGAAAAAAAAAAAAAGGAAGAGAUCAACCAAAUACCCAUCUCCAGGUCCCUCCCCACAUCGCUACCUCUCCCCCACCCCAGCCAGUGUCUCACUUAGCACCCCACGCCCGGAGGAGACAUUAAAGAGAGCGGCAGGCCAACGAAAUAGGCACGUGGGAGAUUUGGAGGCGUUCAACAUUUCAAUCAUCAUCAACAACAACAAUAGAAUAGGGGCGCCCAGGAGGACUAGAGCCCCGUGUCUGAUGAGAACUGUUUUCUUUGAGAGUCUAGUAUCGCACGCUGUUACAGCCUUCCUCUUGCUGAUGACCGGGUUCCUGUUUGAUCCUGUUUACAAGCUUCCGAAGAUUGAAAAUAACCCCAACCCCUCUGCACUGGUGUUGCAAGCAGAAGAAAACAGCAAGAAGAGAAGUUGAGAACUUAAACUGGGAGACUUGGCAGAUACAUUUUAGGUCAACUUGAGGAUUUGGGUCUAUGUUGUAUGUGGCAACGGUGAGAAGUAGGUUGGGAGGAAUUGCUGUUACUAUAUUACUUCCCCUCCAUAAAAGUCUCAAAAUGAAACCUACUGCUAAACUGAGUGUUCAUAUGCUAAGGUGAUUACUAGUAUAUCUUGGUGGAUUUCAACUGCAAGAACCUCUGGGUUGCCUAAGGAGGAGAUUAGGAUGAUUUUUUAGCACUGAAGAGACUUUGGGGAACUUUCUUUCCUUGUCCCUUUGCAUUGCAUUAAGCAGACGCUCUAGAAGUUAAGAAUCAGUGGAUGACUAUUCCUAGAUGACCCAAGUUAAAACCACGCACAUCCUCCACUGAUAUACUUGUGAGAAUGGGACUGAACAGAAAAUCGGGAAAUGAUAACUGAAGAAGCUGCGUGCAGCAGAAAACAUGCAUGAAAUGUUCUUUUGCAUGUCCUGUUCCAAGAAGCAGAAGCUUUUGUUUUUUCUUUCCUUUAAGUUUCAAUGCAACCAAAAAAAGCUUUUUUGUAAGUAAUCUUCAUGGGUUUGAGGAUCACUUUAGGUAGGAUGAGUGGUUAGCUCUUGCCUAAAUAUUGCGAGCAAUGUAAAUUUUGUGACUCUAAGAAAACAGAAGAGUAGAUCACUGGUCAAAUGUUAUGUCUCCCUAAAAGCAGCACAUUGCUAGGGCAGACAGAUGUGAUGAGAUGGGGAGCAAGAAGGUAGUACUAGAAUCUGAGAGAACUGUUAUAAACCAAGGAAUGCCUUUGGAACAGCCAUCCAAAACUGUAAUCCCAUAGCUUAUAAAACUGUUUCUGAUUUCAUCUUGCCAGUGAGCUAGUUAUAUAUAUAUGUGUAGCUGGAUUCUUUUUUCCUCUUUUGUUUUAUGUCUGAGUGUUCCUGGUUGUUUUCCUGCUAACA